GUUCUGUACCUCUCAAAACAACAACAGCAACAGCAACAAGACGGAUGGCAUGAGAACUGAAAACAGCCAAGAGGCAAAGAAUUUACCUGUUCUGUGUCCCAUUCCUGAAGGACUUUAUUCUCUACUAUCUGUCAAGGAGAACACUAAUCUUGCAGAAGGUGCUGAUGGCUAAUUAUGAUCCAAGUAAGUGCUCUUGUUACCACACCGGGCUUGGCUUCUCCUGGAAAAAUCUAUGUCAUAACCCCAGAGAAGGAGUCGGGAAGUGUGAACUGCUCAAAUAAUAUGAAAUAGACGACAGUGUACUUUGGCCACAUAGGAACAAAACUGGCUUUG